ensembl:lncRNA
AGUUCUGUCGCUGAGAUAAUUCUGAUUUAACCCCAUCUAUCAAGAUGGCCUGAGUUCUGUCGCUGAGAUAAUUCUGAAACUAUAAACAACCUGUAUAUACCAGGCCUAUUUUUUAUAAUUUCUUCAGCAAAACAGAAUGAUCAACAGUGUCGACCGCCUUUGACAGAUCAAUAAACGAAGCAGCACAGCUUUUUCUAGCAUCCAAGGCAUUGACAAGAUCAUUAACAUCUAGCGUGGUUGCUGUGGUAGUACUAUGCCCAGGUUGGUGUAUAUUAAGAAAACAAAUAUCAGAUAAAAAGGAACAAAGUUGUACAUUUAACCAAGGAUUCAAGAAUCUUAGCUAAACAAGGUAGUCCCCACCAUAAUGGAGUGAUAGAUGUCCAGAUCAUUUGUAUCCACACCCUAAUGGAGUGAUAGAUGUCCAGAUCAUUUGUAUCCCCACCCUAAUGGAGUGAUAGAUGUCCAGAUCAUUUGUAUCCCCACCCUAAUGGAGUGAUAGAUGUCCAGAUCAUUUGUAUCCCCACCCUAAUGGGAGUGAUAGAUGUCCAGAUCAUUUGUAUCCCCACCCUAAUGGAGUGAUAGAUGUCCAGAUCAUUUGUAUCCCCACCCUAAUGGGAGUGAUAGAUGUCCAGAUCAUUUGUAUCCCCACCCUAAUGGAGUGACAGAUGUCCAGAUCAUUUGUAUCCCCACCCUAAUGGAGUGAUAGAUGUCCAGAUCAUUUGUAUCCCCACCCUAAUGGAGUGACAGAUGUCCAGAUCAUUUGUAUCCCCACCCAAAUGGGAGUGAUAGAUGUCCAGAUCAUUUGUAUCCCCACCCUAAUGGAGUGACAGAUGUCCAGAUCAUUUGUAUCCCCACCCUAAUGGAGUGAUAGAUGUCCAGAUCAUUUGUAUCCCCACCCUAAUGGAGUGACAGAUGUCCAGGUUAUUUGUAACCCCACCCUAAUGGAGUGACAGCUCAUAUGCAGAUGUCCAUGCUUUUGAAAUACUUCCUAACUAUGUUAAUAUAAAAUGUGGGCCAC